AACCCUGCGCCUCCCACCUGUCGCCGCAAACCCCACCCGCCGUCGCGUUGCGCCCAUGGCCACCCCCGCUGCGGCCGCUGCCUCCUCCCGCGCGCGCCGCCUGUCGUGCAUCUUCUACUCGUCAUCGUCAAGGGCCCAACCAACCACGCCCAAGCCUGCGCUGACCCCCAAAGCACCCGCCGGCGAGGAGGCGAAACCCAACUCGGACCGCAAGCGCCGGAAGCCCCUCAGCAAAAUCCUGAAGAACCUCUUCCGGGAGCGCGAUCCGGACAAGCUGGUGUCGGAGUUCGUCGCCGCGUCGACCGCGUCCGCGCGCUUCCGCGACCGGCACCGCGUGUACGAGGUGGUCGUGUCCCGCCUCGCCUCCUUUGGCCGCCGCGAUGCCGUCACGGCCAUCAUCGACGCGCAGAAGCCCUUCCUCGAGGCCUCCACCGAGGGCUUCGCUGCGCGCCUCGUCCGCCUCUACGGCCGCGCCUCUAUGCCAUCCCACGCCGCCGCAACCUUCCGUGACCUACCCCCGCAGCACAAGUCCAUCAUGACCUUCAAUGCACUCCUCGCCGCCUACGUCGACGCCCGCGAGUUCGACGCGCUGGCCACUGCGUUCCAGGAGAUCCCAGCCUCCCACCCCACCGUUGUGCCCAGUGUGUACUCUUACAACAUACUCAUCAGCGCGCUAUGCCAGAAGCCUGACCUUUCGGCGGCCAUUGAUGUCAUUGCCCUCAUGGAGAAGUGCGGCCUUACCCCCGAUAAGGUGUCUUUCAACACGCUGUUGAACGGGUUUAUCAACAAUGGGCGCUUUAAUGAUGCCGAGAAAGUCUGGGACAUGAUGAAGGAGUGGGAUUUGGAGCCGGACGCGAAGAGCUACAAUGCAAAGUUGCGGGGUUUGGUUGCCGAAGGGAGGAUCGAGGAUGCAGCUGCUGUGAUUGAGAGGAUGGAGAAGGAUGGGCCAAAACCUGAUUCAGUGUCCUACAAUGAGCUGAUUCGAGGGUAUUGCAAAGAAGGGAGGUUGGAUGAGGCCAAGAAGGUAUAUGAUGAUUUGGUAAAGAAUGAAUGUGCGCCGAAUAAGGGGACAUUUCAUACCCUCGUGCCACUUCUUGUGGAGGCUGGGGAGCUUGAUCGUGCUAUAAAUUGUUGCCAUGAGACCUUUAGUAGGAAGUGCAGAGUGGAUUGUUCAGUGCUGCAGGGGGUAGUGACUGCAUUAGUUGUUGCAUCAAGGGUGGAGGAGGCUACCAGGAUCAUUGAGCUUGGGCGGAAGAACUAUUAUCCCCGGAAGGGUUUGAUGAUGCCACAUAUUGGAGAAGACAAUAAUGUAGAAGUUGAAACUGAUUGGAAAGAUUCUAUGUUAUAUGAAGAGGGGUCUGAAGAGGAAAAGGAGUCUGGAAAUGCUUGAUGAGGAUGUACCUCUGUAAGUUAGGCACUGAUCUGCCAUGCCGGUGCAAAUGGAAUUUGAUCAAAUAUGCUAUCCUGCUCUACUGUUUUGUUUGCCUGAUUAAACAGAAGUUGUUGCCUUUCAAGAAUAUGCUAGAAGGGUUCUUAUUUUGAUUCAGACUACAGGGGCCGAGGGGGCUCAAGCCCCAAGCCCCCCCCCCCCCCCCCUCUCAAUUUUUGGGCACGCAAGAGGAAGAAGAGAAAGAGGAGGAGAAGGGAGAAGAAGAGGGAGAGCCCCCUACUUCGUAGCUCUGGAUCUGCCACUAACUACAUGUAAUUAUUUAGUAUUUAGCACUAGCAGACUGAUUGCAAUGUGCUAUGGCUGGCUAAGUUUUGAGAUGGCUGUCACUCUUCAAGAUUGUUUUUAAAAGAUGAGUUAAUGAAAUUAAGAACAAAGGCAAAUGAGCUAUUUGAUAUGAUGAAAACAGAUUAAAUCGGUAGGUCUCAAGCUCUCCAAUAACCAAGUGUGCUUUUCUUUUUCAUUUUUAUUCUAUAUUUCUUGUAU